rnacentral:lncRNA from 1 species
ACCGUCCGGGCAUCUACCGGUCAUCGGCCACCGCGCCGGCCGCCGAUCUCCGUCACCGGCACCGCCGUCUGCGGUGGCCGGAAAAGGAGAAAAUCCCCUAUUUGGCCUUUUAGACUCCCCUAAGCCCAAAUCUAGGUUCAAAUCCCUCAAAAUAUCAACAAAAAUGCCCCAAAAGCCCGAGAAACCCUUCAGCUUCCGGUCGUCUGUCAUCGGAGAUGACACCCUCGGCCAU